CCCGACUGCAUGUCCCAGCAUGCACCGGGAUCCUCACGAACGCGCGGUUUGCUGAUUAUCGCAGCGAGCUGGGAAUUAAUUCAUUCAUUCCGCAGGAUUUGCCUUAAAACCCCUCACUGAAACCACAUAUUGUAGGUUAUUACCCGCCCUUUGUACUUGUGUGGCAUUUCCAGGGACGUGGUGAAACUUGUGCUUUGCGUGUCACAGCGAAAUUUGGUGUAAGAUCAGAGUUAUGAAAUAAAAAUUGAUAACAAAAUGCAUCUGGCAACCCACAAGAUUAUUUAGAUUGUUUACCACUGAGGAAAAUUAAUGAUCAAAGAAACCCACGGACUGGGAUGAUUGAAUCUGAAUUUAUUAUCUAAAUGACCAAACUGAUGAUCUAAAUCAGACCUGAGGAUUGGGAUGACCCUGAACCCAUGGUGGAACUAGUGCUGAGGACCUGAAUUUUGGGAUGAAGACUAAUAAUAAUGCAGACUGAGAGGAAUCCUCUCUGUCAGUGUCUGCAGGGAAGGGUCAGAGCAUAGACCAAGGGGCCCAGCAAUGGCACAAGCAGCAGCAGGCACAAACCACCUGAAUAUGAGAAAAACUUCUUUACUGCGCAGCGACCGAGCGCUGGAACAGACCGCAAUCCUCGCUGGAGAUAUUCCAGAGCCGUGUGGGCACGGUGCUGUGCCGUGAGCUCUGGGGUGGCGGCCCUCUGCCUUCACCCAAACCUCGCUCCUUCUGUGCGAUGUGGCUGUGAGCUG